rnacentral:lncRNA from 1 species
CCGAAGUUCAUCCCAAUUUCCAUUAACGCCUCCUACAGAAUGAGCAUACCACUUUUUUGUUCUUCCCAAAAGGGAGAACAGAAAUAAUUUCCAUUUAAGGGUUUCUUGUGUCAUGCCGGAAAUAGAUCGGCAAGAGCACAACUGCUCGAAUUCUCUAAGGUGGGUGUAUGGAUCUUCAUCUACUUGCCCAGAGAAGGGUUGCUCCUAAAUCAUGGCUAUUAGAUCAAGGCCGAGGUCGUAGCCAUCUUUAAGAAUUGGAUGUGAUGAUGGUGGUGGCUCUAAUAACUCGCCCUUUGGAGCAAAGAAUUUAUAGAUAGGAGUGAAAUUCAUGUGGUGUGGUAAAAUGGUAAGGUGAGUGUGGUAAAAAAAGGAAAAGAAAAAGGAUACACGGACGAC